rnacentral:rRNA from 1 species
GACGAACGCUGGCGGCGUGCUUAACACAUGCAAGUCGAACGGAAAGGCCCCCAUCUUGGUGGGGGUGCUCGAGUGGCGAACGGGUGAGUAACACGUGGGUGAUCUGCCCUGUACUUCGGGAUAAGCUUGGGAAACUGGGUCUAAUACCGGAUAGGACCAUGGUUUAGUGUCUCAUGGUGGAAAGAUUAUUGUUUUGGUGCAGGAUGAGCUCGCGGCCUAUCAGCUUGUUGGUGGGGUAAUGGCCUACCAAGGCGUCGACGGGUAGCCGGCCUGAGAGGGUGGACGGCCACAUUGGGACUGAGAUACGGCCCAGACUCCUACGGGAGGCAGCAGUGGGGCCUCUUGCCCCAUGGGCGCCCGCCUGCUGCCGCGACGCCGCGUGGGGGAUGACGGCCUUCGGGUUGUAAACUCCUUUCGUUAGGGACGAAGCCGCACUUUUUUUGGGUGUGGUGACGGUACCUUUGUUAAGAAGCACCGGCUCCCUACGUG